rnacentral:rRNA from 1 species
AUAAUGGAGAGUUUGAUCCUGGCUCAGGACGAACGCUGGCGGCGUGCCUAAUACAUGCAAGUCGAGCGGAACCCUUGGAGCUUGCUCCAAGAGUUUAGCGGCGGACGGGUGAGUAACACGUGGGCAACCUGCCCUGCAGAUCGGGAUAACUCCGGGAAACCGGUGCUAAUACCGAAUAGUUUGGUUCCCCUCCUGGGGAGCCACGGAAAGACGGUUUCGGCUGUCACUGCAGGAUGGGCCCGCGGCGCAUUAGCUAGUUGGUGGGGUAAUGGCCCACCAAGGCGACGAUGCGUAGCCGACCUGAGAGGGUGAUCGGCCACACUGGGACUGAGACACGGCCCAGACUCCUACGGGAGGCAGCAGUAGGGAAUCUUCCGCAAUGGACGAAAGUCUGACG